rnacentral:rRNA from 1 species
ACGCACGCUGGCGGCGUGCUUCACCCAUGCCAUUCGAACGGUAAGGCCCUGCUUUUGUGGGGUGCUCGCGUGGCGAACGGGUGAGUAACACGUGAGUAACCUGCCCUUGACUUUGGGAUAACUUCAGGAAACUGGGGCUAAUACCGGAUAGGAGCUCCUGCUGCAUGGUGGGGGUUGGAAAGUUUCGGCGGUUGGGGAUGGACUCGCGGCUUAUCAGCUUGUUGGUGGGGUAGUGGCUUACCAAGGCUUUGACGGGUAGCCGGCCUGAGAGGGUGACCGGCCACAUUGGGACUGAGAUACGGCCCAGACUCCUACGGGAGGCAGCAGUGGGGAAUAUUGCACAAUGGGCGGAAGCCUGAUGCAGCAACGCCGCGUGCGGGAUGACGGCCUUCGGGUUGUAAACCGCUUUCGCCUGUGACGAAGCGUGAGUGACGGUAAUGGGUAAAGAAGCACCGGCUAACUACGUG